GGUCACAGCUCCUUUCAGCAUGGCCGGAGGAGAGGUGUACUGGCAGUCGCGUGACACACACAGAUCAGACACAUAUUUCUGUGUUGCAGAUGUGCAGUAAAGAGCCAAAGACCCAGUACUGUCUCCUGCCUCUUACUUUCACGCCAGAACACAACGCAAGAACAACAGGCGUAACACAUGAACGGGUUACACAUACUGAGGCCUCCUCCUGUUUCACUGCCAUAUAUCCACCACCAGAGGGCUCCACUGACCUGCCUGCCGACAUCAGAGCACACCCCUGUGUCAUGUGACCUGGCAGGAGUAGCAAAGCUGGACUCAGACCUGGCCAGGCAAGUUCAAAGGCAGCUGUGGUAGAGAGAGUAUAUGGGCUCAAAUUGUGCUCAUAAAUAUUUUGUACUUGUAAAUCAAUUUGUGUGUGUAUGGGA